CGGAUUGCAGCCUGCAACUCGGCUGCAUGAAGCUGGAAUCGCUAGUAAUCGCGGAUCAGGAUGCCGCGGUGAAUACGUUCCCGGGUCUUGUACACACCGCCCGUCACACCAUGGGGAGGUCGGGAACGCCCGAAGCCGGUGACCGAACCCUAACGGGGAGGAGCCGUCGAAGGCGGGCCUGGUGACUGGGGUGAAGUCGUAACAAGGUAAC
rnacentral:rRNA from 1 species